rnacentral:lncRNA from 1 species
UUUUUUUUUUUUGUUGUUUAAUUGGAUUUGGAAAAUGUGGCUUCCAUCAUAUUUGAAACAUGUAUGAAAGAGAGAGCGGAAACGGGAGCUGAGAGAUGAUAGAAACUAUCAGGACUUACAGAAAAUUAUUUCAUAGAUAGAAGGCACUGGCAGGAUCAGCCUAGCAGUGAUUGAUUUUUAUUUUUUUUUAAUUAAUUAUAAGGUAUUGUGGGCCAGUUUUAUUUCCAAAUUCCAAUGCUACAUUUUUCCUUUUAUGCACCUUAAAAUUGAUUUAUUUUUUAUGACAUUCAUUUAGCAAAAAAAUGUUUUCUAUUACCAUUGACUUAAAAAAAAAAUCUUUCCGAAAGUCUUUACUGGCACCAUCUGUGUGAAAGCUGCAACUAUCUGAAAAUAACAUGUUUUGGUUUUAACCGAGUUUGUGCGUACUCACAGAGGAUCUAAAUUGGUCUGUGAAAUCUCCCGCACAUUUUUGUGUUUUAAUUAAAAUUUAGCUGAUGGGGUGACUCCUGUGACGUACCAGAGGAAAAAUAAGCACCUGCUCCUCUUGCCACAUGAAAUGUGGAUGCUAAUAUGAAAAUAUGUAGAUGUUAGGAAUACAAAUAAUUGAUGAAGUACACAUCCUUUGGGAGCAACACGGUUCAAGUGGCAAAUCUUUCUCCUCAAACAAUGGCCACCCUUCAGCAGAGAGGAAGCCAUCUCUAUGGUAAUGGGGCUGACGCUGCCCUAUUGAUCUAGUGGAAGAAGACAUUAUACAAUGUCAGUUGGGUUGUUACAAUUUCAUUUGUCGUCUGACCUGAACUUAACCUCUAAAAUCUUUCUUUUCGACCUACCAGCCAGGCAGGGUUGCUGUUUACCCUCGCAGGGUUUUCUCUGGGCCUCCCAGCAUCCCCAUACAGUAAAUCUCUCUCCUUUUUUUCCCCAUUGACUCUUUUUUGUUUAAGAGGCAUUUCCUGAGUUUAUUCCUCUGUAGGUCAGGACAAUUUCUUUGUUGCUUAAGGAAGGAGUUGCGGUUUCCUUCAAGGAUGGGUGGUGUUUGGGAUGUUACAGCAUGUGCGAGAUUAGGAUCAAAUUUAUUCCUUAAACAGAUUUCUUCUCUGGUAGGCGAUGGCUGGCAGGAUGCUCUGUAUAGGCACUGCUGUAGUCGAUAGAAAGCAAUCCCAGCAUCUUGUUUGUUUAUUCAUUGUAUUAUAUUAUAUUAGUAAUUUCAUUAUAUUAUUUUUUUUAAGCCUGGAUUGUGCUUCUUAAAACAAAGUUAUGUCUAACUGCAUUGAUGCAAAAAGCCCUUUUAUCAGUAAUCCAUACUAUCGCUGAACGAGCGGUUUACUCCUUUGAAUUAGUUCUCAAAUAUGGGGUUUUUGCCCCCCUCUGCACAGUCUUAAUAAAUUGCUUGUAAUUAUCGUAAAAUGGCAUUUAUAAAGAGUUUUCUCAGGCUGGUUGUAGCUGAGGCAAAUAAUUCAUCUUUGCUUUGAAAGAGGGGGGAGCUGGCUUAUGUUUUUAGCACACAGCAAGUGCGGCUAUAGGAUUGUUUCUUUAAACAACUAUUUAUUUGUUUUACUGUGGGAGGCAAAGCAUAGCAAGUUUACAAAGUAAACCAAUUAUCUUCUUAUAAUAUGAUUGCCAAGGUGUCAUUUUCUGCAAAGAUGAUGCAUUCUUUGCAUUCUCUGUUGCAAAGAGAGCUAGGAUGCUUUCCCCAGCUUUAAAUGUGUUGGUUUUUUUCUCAGUGUAUACCUUUCGUAGCUUGGCUGUUUUGCUGUAUCUAAAUAUACAAAGCUAAUUUAUUGCAAGGGCAAUAGUGGAGUAGGUGGUGUCAUUGCCCAUAUUUCUAGUAAGUUUUUGACAGCUUUAUUCUGGCCGAGUUGCACAUGGGUUUUUGAGAGGGAGGAAAUUGUUUCAUUAAAUUAAGCUGUUCAUAUCUCUUUGGUUGCUGUUCUGGGUAUCAUGUUGAGUUUUGGACUAAUAUAUAUAUUUAUAUAUGUAUACAUUCCCUUUCCCCCCAGACCUUCCAAGCAACACACUGUGAAUGUAUACGAAAAUUGGAGCCAACUCUUCUCCCAUCGCCAACAAAAGCAAGUGUUAGGCAUGUUGUAUAAUGAAAUAAUUAA